AAAAGAGGUGCCUAUACAUUAGUGUGGGGUAAAAGGGAAUCAGGUGUAAAUCCUGAACGGUCGCGCCGCUGUAAGUGAUGAGUUGUAUGCAAAUGAAUACCACUGGUAAUGAAAGUACCGGGAAGGUUGCAGACAAUGAAGAUUCCAAAGUCAGAAAACCUGCCUCUUCUGGA
rnacentral:ncRNA from 1 species